AAUAUGUUGGCAAGAACUAAUAUAAGUUGUGAAAACAUCAUUUCCACUUAAAAGUGUGAAACUCACCAAUGUUAAAGUUAAUACCUGAAAUUAAGUAUUACAUGUGAUACUGCUGGAAUGAAAGUUGAAAUAGAAGAUACUUCUGAUGAAGUCUUGGCAACAAUAUCAAUGGAUUUUGUACUUUGAUAACAUAACAAUCAUAUUAUUGGAAACACAUUCUAAGUAGGAAAUUUUUGUCAUAGUUGAGAGCUGAACAUACAUCUGGGUCUUUGCAGCUACAAUGAAGCUGAAGUAAAAUGGGAUUACGGUGGGCCCUAAAUCCAAUGACUGCUGUUCUUAUAAGACAAGGAAGGGACACACAGAGCUACAGAUAUAAGGGCAUGUGAAAACUGAAGCAAAGAUUGGAAGGAUGCAGAUACAAACCAAGAACUCUGAGGAUUACAACAAGGACCCACCAGAAGCUAGAAAAGGAAGGAUUCUUCCAUAGAAUCCUUCUCCAGAGAGAAUAUAGCUCUACAGACACCUUGAUGUUGGACUUCUAGCCUCCAGAACUAUGAAAUAAAUUUCUGUUGUUUCAAGCCA